GGGUUGUGAGGUUAAGCGACUAAGCGUACACGGUGGAUGCCCUGGCAGUCAGAGGCGAUGAAGGGCGUGCUAAUCUGCGAUAAGCGCCGGUAAGGUGAUAUGAACCGUUAUAACCGGCGAUACCCGAAUGGGGAAACCCAGUGUGAUUCGUCACACUAUCAUUAACUGAAUCCAUAGGUUAAUGAGGCGAACCGGGGGAACUGAAACAUCUAAGUACCCCGAGGAAAAGAAAUCAACCGAGAUUCCCCCAGUAGCGGCGAGCGAACGGGGAGGAGCCCAGAGCCUGAAUCAGCAUGUGUGUUAGUGGAAGCGUCUGGAAAGGCGCGCGAUACAGGGUGACAGCCCCGUACACAAAAGCGCAUGUGCUGUGAGCUCGAUGAGUAGGGCGGGACACGUGAUAUCCUGUCUGAAUAUGGGGGGACCAUCCUCCAAGGCUAAAUACUCCUGACUGACCGAUAGUGAACCAGUACCGUGAGGGAAAGGCGAAAAGAACCCCGGCGAGGGGAGUGAAAAAGAACCUGAAACCGUGUACGUACAAGCAGUGGGAGCACCCUUGGGUGUGACUGCGUACCUUUUGUAUAAUGGGUCAGCGACUUAUAUUCUGUAGCAAGGUUAACCGUAUAGGGGAGCCGAAGGGAAACCGAGUCUUAACCGGGCGUUAAGUUGCAGGGUAUAGACCCGAAACCCGGUGAUCUAGCCAUGGGCAGGUUGAAGGUUGGGUAACACUAACUGGAGGACCGAACCGACUAAUGUUGAAAAAUUAGCGGAUGACCUGUGGCUGGGGGUGAAAGGCCAAUCAAACCGGGAGAUAGCUGGUUCUCCCCGAAAGCUAUUUAGGUAGCGCCUCGUGAAUUCAUCUCCGGGGGUAGAGCACUGUUUCGGCUAGGGGGCCAUCCCGGCUUACCAACCCGAUGCAAACUGCGAAUACCGGAGAAUGUUAUCACGGGAGACACACGGCGGGUGCUAACGUCCGUCGUGAAGAGGGAAACAACCCAGACCGCCAGCUAAGGUCCCAAAGUCAUGGUUAAGUGGGAAACGAUGUGGGAAGGCCCAGACAGCCAGGAUGUUGGCUUAGAAGCAGCCAUCAUUUAAAGAAAGCGUAAUAGCUCACUGGUCGAGUCGGCCUGCGCGGAAGAUGUAACGGGGCUAAACCAUGCACCGAAGCUGCGGCAGCGA
rnacentral:rRNA from 1 species